ACGAACGCUGGCGGCGUGCUUAACACAUGCAAGUCGAACGGAAAGGCCCUGCUUGCAGGGUACUCGAGUGGCGAACGGGUGAGUAACACGUGGGUGAUCUGCCCCGCACUUCGGGAUAAGCUUGGGAAACUGGGUCUAAUACCGGAUAGGAGCCAUCUUUAGUGUGGUGGUUGGAAAGUUUUUUCGGUGUAGGAUGAGCUCGCGGCCUAUCAGCUUGUUGGUGGGGUAAUGGCCUACCAAGGCGGCGACGGGUAGCCGGCCUGAGAGGGUGUACGGCCACAUUGGGACUGAGAUACGGCCCAGACUCCUACGGGAGGCAGCAGUGGGGAAUAUUGCACAAUGGGCGCAAGCCUGAUGCAGCGACGCCGCGUGGGGGAUGAAGGCCUUCGGGUUGUAAACUCCUUUCGCUAGGGACGAAGCUUUUUUGUGACGGUACCUAGAGAAGAAGCACCGGCUAACUACGUG
rnacentral:rRNA from 1 species